rfam:Capsicum annuum cultivar Zunla-1 chromosome 5, whole genome shotgun sequence
ACCUCAUGAUUUGGGCAUUUCACUAGGUUUCCAUUAAACCUCUCCCAUACUUCAAACAAUAGUUCUCCAUUCAAUUGCCAAAAGUUUAUAAUCUCAUCCUACUUUUGAAGCA